GAAACACUCAUGAUCACUGUAUGUCAGCCUGCCCUGAUCUCUCUGAUUAACUGCAAAUAAAAAGACGUGCACACUGUCAUGGCUGCGGCAGGGAGAGAAACCUGGGGAAGACUUAUAGGAACUGAUGCAGAAAAAAGUGAGAAAAACCAGGAGAACAAUUUAUACAAGGACAACAAUGUUGUGAAAAUUAAACAACUCUGACAGACUUAAGAACUCUGAUUAAUUCAGUUGACCCACCAUAAUUCUGGAAGACUCAAUGAUCAAACAUGCUAUGGACCACCAGAGAGAAAGAAGAUGAGCUUGGAGUGCAGACUAAGUUUUGGAUUGGUCUUUUUUUUUGCUUGUAGUUUGUUUUGUCUUUUUUUGGACAUAGACAAUGCUAGAAUUUGUUUUUGCUGGAUUAUAUAUGUUUAUAACAAAUUUUUCUUUCAUUCUCAAGAGCAAUUGGGAGGGACAAAGUAAGGAGAGAGAAUAGGUGGGUUUUUUAAAUUAAAUUAAUAUUUUAAUUUGAAAAGGAAAAAA